rnacentral:rRNA from 1 species
CUCUUCUUGGAUGAGUUGCGAACGGGUGAGUAACGCGUAGGUAACCUGCCUUGUAGCGGGGGAUAACUAUUGGAAACGAUAGCUAAUACCGCAUAACAAUGGAUGACACAUGUCAUUUAUUUGAAAGGGGCAAAUGCUCCACUACAAGAUGGACCUGCGUUGUAUUAGCUAGUAGGUGAGGUAACGGCUCACCUAGGCGACGAUACAUAGCCGACCUGAGAGGGUGAUCGGCCACACUGGGACUGAGACACGGCCCAGACUCC